CCGCUCACACCGAUGUUGCCCCUGGUCGUCUUUACGUCGACAGUUUCAGGGGCCCAUCUAGUUAGCGGCGAGUCACCGCCUGCCUCGAUAACGUGGAAAAACAUUGUUAUGGCAGGUGUCCGGACCUCUUUGCAAUAGCCCAAUCUUUUGACCAGCCAAACUUCAACACCAUAACCGGCACUUUUCUCCACUAUAUUUACAAUAGCCCCUACGCCUGUUGGGACCGAUUUACGGGUAUCUAUGAAUGGGUUCUAGCAGGUGUAUUACAUAACAGCAAACUUCUCCAAAGGGCUUCUACGUGUUGGAUCUGUAUGGACGUGCGCCUAUCAAAUGACCGGGAUGUAUAUACCCGUGAGUUUAUAAGAGAGACAAUAAAUA